rnacentral:rRNA from 1 species
AGAAUAGCUCUUGGAAACGGGUGGUAAUGCUGGAUGCUCCAACUUGACGCAUGUCUUGUUGGGAAAGUGUUUAGUGGCAUGGGAUGGGGUCGCGUCCUAUCAGCUUGUAGGCGGGGUAAUGGCCCACCUAGGCUUCGACGGGUAGCCGGCCUGAGAGGGCGGACGGCCACAUUGGGACUGAGAUACGGCCCANAUCAGGGAGCAGCAGC